GCCGGUCCUCGGUAGUGGCCUUCGGAGCACGCGAGAGCGCGCACCCCGGUGGCUUCGAUCGAAGACCGGC
rfam:Streptomyces sp. CNQ-509, complete genome.